rnacentral:rRNA from 1 species
GGAGACACACGGCGGGGGCUAACGUGCGUCGUGCAGAGGGAGCCGACCCAGACCCACAGCUAAGGUCCCAAAUUUUGUGCUAAGUGGAAAACCAUGUGGAAAGGCACAGACAGCCAGGAGGUUGGCUUAGAAGCAGCCACCCUUUAAAGAAAGCGUAAUAGCUCACUGGUCGAGUCGGUCUGCGGGGAAGAUUUAACGGGGCUAAGCACAGAACCGAAGCUUGGGGUGCAUACUUUGUAUGCGCGGUAGAGGAGCGUUCCGUAAGCCGUUGAAGGUGGAUUGAGAAGUCUGCUGGAGGUAUCGGAAGUGCGAAUGCCGACAUGAGUAACGAUAAUGCGGGUGAAAAACCCGCACGC